CCUACGGGCGGCAGCAGUGAGGAAUAUUGGUCAAUGGACGAGAGUCUGAACCAGCCAAGUAGCGUGAAGGAUGACUGCCCUAUGGGUUGUAAACUUCUUUUAUAAAGGAAUAAAACGAGGCACGUGUGCCUUUUUGCAUGUACUUUAUGAAUAAGGAUCGGCUAACUCCGUGCCAGCAGCCACGGUAAUACGGAGGAUCCGAGCGUUAUCCGGAUUCAUUGGUAUUAAAGGGAGCGUAGAUGGGUUGUUAAGUCAGUUGUGAAAUUUUGCGGCUCAACCGUAAAAUUGCAAUUGAUACUGGCAGUCUUGAGUACAGUGGAGGUAGGCGGAAUUCGUGGUGGAGCGGUGAAAUGCUUAGAUAUCACGAAGAACCCCGAUUGCGAAGGCAGCUUACUAAACUGUGACUGACAUUGAUGCUCGAAAGUGUGGGUAUCAAACAGGAUUAGAUACCCCAGUAGUC
rnacentral:rRNA from 1 species